rnacentral:rRNA from 1 species
UACGUAGGGGGCAAGCGUUGUCCGGAAUCAUUGGGCGUAAAGCGCGUGUAGGCGGCCCGAUAAGUCCGCUGUGAAAGUCCAGGGCUCAACCCUGGGAUGCCGGUGGAUACUGUCGGGCUCGAGUCCGGAAGAGGAGUGUGGAGUUCCUGGUGUAGCGGUGAAAUGCGCAGAUAUCAGGAGGAACACCAAUGGCGAAGGCAGCACUCUGGGACGUGACUGACGCUGAGACGCGAAAGCGUGGGGAGCAAACAGG